rnacentral:rRNA from 1 species
UCANCCAUAGUGUGCUCUGGAAACUNUCUGACUUGAGUGCAGAAGGGGAGAGUGGAAUUCCAUGUGUAGCGGUGAAAUGCGUAGAUAUAUGGAGGAACACCAGUGGCGAAAGCGGCUCUCUGGUCUGUCACUGACGCUGAGGCUCGAAAGCGUGGGUAGCGAACAGGAUUAGAUACCCUGGUAGUCCACGCCGUAAACGAUGAGUGCUAGGUGUUAGGCCCUUUCCGGGGCUUAGUGCCGGAGCUAACGCAAUAAGCACUCCGCCUGGGGAGUACGACCGCAAGGUUGAAACUCAAAGGAAUUGACGGGGGCCCGCACAAGCGGUGGAGCAUGUGGUUUAAUUCGAAGCAACGCGAAGAACCUUACCAGGUCUUGACAUCCCGAUGCUAUUCUUAGAGAUAGGAAGUUACUUCGGUACAUCGGAGACAGGUGGUGCAUGGUUGUCGUCAGCUCGUGUCGUGAGAUGUUGGGUUAAGUCCCGCAACGAGCGCAACCCUUAUUGUUAGUUGCCAUCAUUAAGUUGGGCACUCUAGCGAGACUGCCGGUAAUAAACCGGAGGAAGGUGGGGAUGACGUCAAAUCAUCAUGCCCCUUAUGACCUGGGCUACACACGUGCUACAAUGGUCGGUACAACGAGUUGCGAGCCGGUGACGGCAAGCUAAUCUCUGAAAGCCGAUCUCAGUUCGGAUUGGAGGCUGCAACUCGCCUCCAUGAAGUCGGAAUCGCUAGUAAUCGCGGAUCAGCACGCCGCGGUGAAUACGUUCCCGGGCCUUGUACACACCGCCCGUCACACCACGAGAGUUUGUAACACCCGAAGUCGGUGAGGUAACCUUUUAGGGGCCAGCC